rnacentral:rRNA from 1 species
GGGUGAGUAAUACAUAAGUAAUCUGCCUUAGUGCCUGGGAUAACCGUUGGAAACGAUGGCUAAUACCGGAUAGUUAAUUUUAUGGCAUCAUAUUAUUAUUAAAGUUGCGUAUGCAACACAUUAAGAUGAGCUUAUGGCGCAUUAGCUAGUUGGUGGGAUAAAAGCUUACCAAGGCGAUGAUGCGUAGCCGACCUGAGAGGGUGACCGGCCACACUGGGACUGAGACACGGCCCAGACUCCUACGGGAGGCAGCAGUAGGGAAUUAUCGGCAAUGGGCGCAAGCCUGACCGUGCAAUGCCGCGUGAGUGAUGAAGGCCUUCGGGUUGUAAAACUCUGUUGUAAGGGAAGAAUUGGUAGUAGAGGAAAUGCUAUUACUUUGACGGUACCUUACCAGAAAGCCACGGCUAACUACGUGCCAGCAGCCGCGGUAAUACGUAGGUGGCGAGCGUUAUCCGGAAUUAUUGGGCGUAAAGGGUGCGUAGGCGGCAUAUUAAGUCUGUGGUGAAAGUGCGGGGCUCAACUCCGUAUUGCCUUAGAAACUGGUAUGCUAGAGUGCAGGAGAGGGCAGUGGAAUUCCAUGUGUAGCGGUAAAAUGCGUAGAUAUAUGGAGGAACACCAGUGGCGAAGGCGGCUGCCUGGACUGUAACUGACGCUGAGGCACGAAAGCGUGGGGAGCAAACAGGAUUAGAUACCCUAGUAGUCCACGCCGUAAACGCUGGAUACUAGGUGUAGGUACCGAUGAGGUAUCUGUGCCGUAGUUAACGCAAUAAGUAUCCCGCCUGGGGAGUACGGCCGCAAGGCUGAAACUCAAAGGAAUUGACGGGGGCCCGCACAAGCAGCGGAGCAUGUGGUUUAAUUCGAAGCAACGCGAAGAACCUUACCAGGGCUUGACAUCCCUCUGGAUGGUAUAGAGAUAUGCCAGGCCGGUGUUGUUAAGAUACCGGACAGGGGAGACAGGUGGUGCAUGGUUGUCGUCAGCUCGUGUCGUGAGAUGUUGGGUUAAGUCCCGCAACGAGCGCAACCCCUAUCUCCAGUUGCCAGCACGGAAGGGUGGGGACUCUGGAGAGACUGCCGUGGAGAACACGGAGGAAGGUGGGGACGACGUCAAAUCAUCAUGCCCCUUAUGUCCUGGGCUACACACGUGCUACAAUGGCCAGCACAGAGGGAAGCGAAGCGGCAACGCGGAGCGAAUCCCAAAAACCUGGUCUCAGUUCGGAUUGUGGGCUGCAACCCGCCCACAUGAAGUCGGAGUUGCUAGUAAUCGCGAAUCAGCAUGUCGCGGUGAAUGCGUUCCCGGGCCUUGUACACACCGCCCGUCACACCAUGGGAGUUGGGGGCACCCGAAGCC